ensembl:snRNA U6 U6 spliceosomal RNA
GCUCUAGCUUUGCUGGGGGUUCUGCAGGGCACAUAUUAAAAUUGGGACAGACACGGAGAUCAGCAUGGCCCCUAUGGAAGGGAAAUAUGCAAAUUUGUGAAACAUUAAGAAAAUGU